CUCUUUCCCAACAAAGAAGUUCCUUCCGUUCAGAGCACUUUUUUGUGCCAGAACAUCCCACUCUUAAUGCUGUUUUCAUAUAAUGAACUCGUGAUUCUAUAUCAGUUUCACUACAUGGCAGCUUCCAUCAUCCUUGAGCAGCUUUCCAAGUAAUUAAUAUCCAAUAAAGGCUCACUACUUGUUCGGCGUAUAGAAUGGAGAGGAGUCGAAUUGCUUUGCGGAUUUGGCCUUUCCUCGUCUACUCCAUUAAUACUGCAACGAGACUUCAAAUUAUAACAUAUGAUUAUCAUCCCAUUGAUGAAUUCUCCUCGUCUACUCCAUUAAUACUGCAACGAGACUUCAAAUUAUAACAUAUGAUUAUCAUCCCAUUGAUGAAUUCUGACCAAUUAUCUAUUGGAAAAAAUGUAUUGAAGGGGUGAAUUUGAAAUAAAUUUUGAGCAGGACCCCAUUUGUUUAUUUUGGGAAAUCAAGAUUAA
rnacentral:lncRNA from 1 species